UACGGGGGGGGUAAGCGUUGUUCGGAAUUACUGGGCGUAAAGGGUGCGUAGGCGGCUCUCUAAGUCGGAUGUGAAAACUCUGGGCUCAACCCAGAGCCUGCAUCCGAAACUGGAGGGCUAGGGUUCUGGAGGGGAAAGCGGAAUUCCUGGUGUAGCGGUGAAAUGCGUAGAUAUCAGGAGGAACACCGGUGGCGAAGGCGGCUUUCUGGACAGAUACCGACGCUGAGGCACGAAAGCUAGGGGAGCAAACAGG
rnacentral:rRNA from 1 species